GACCCGGUAGUGGGAGAAUCAUUUGAACGAUUGCGCCUGCUUGGUAUGUAAAUCUGUAUGCAAAUAUGUGCCUCGCCCUUUUAAGGCGAGGGUCCUGGGUUCGAGCCCCAGCCGGCUCACCA
rnacentral:tRNA from 1 species